rnacentral:rRNA from 1 species
GACCAGACUCCUACGGGAGGCAGCAGUGGGGAAUAUUGGACAAUGGGGGGAACCCUGAUCCAGCGACGCCGCGUGAGUGAAGAAGUAUUUCGGUAUGUAAAGCUCUAUCAGCAGGGAAGAAAGAAAUGACGGUACCUGACUAAGAAGCCCCGGCUAACUACGUGCCAGCAGCCGCGGUAAUACGUAGGGGGCAAGCGUUAUCCGGAUUUACUGGGUGUAAAGGGAGCGUAGGUGGCAAGGCAAGUCAGAAGUGAAACCCUCGGGCUCAACCUGAGGCAUGCUUUUGAAACUGUCAAGCUGGAGUGCUGGAGAGGUAAGCGGAAUUCCUAGUGUAGCGGUGAAAUGCGUAGAUAUUAGGAGGAACACCGGUGGCGAAGGCGGCUUACUGGACAGUAACUGACACUGAGGCUCGAAAGCGUGGGGAGCAAACAGGAUUAGAUACCCUAGUA